rnacentral:rRNA from 1 species
GACGAACGCUGGCGGCGUGCCUAAUACAUGCAAGUUGAGCGCUGAAGGUUGGUACUUGUACCAACUGGAUGAGCAGCGAACGGGUGAGUAACGCGUGGGGAAUCUGCCUUUGAGCGGGGGACAACAUUUGGAAACGAAUGCUAAUACCGCAUAAAAACUUUAAACACAAGUUUUAAGUUUGAAAGAUGCAAUUGCAUCACUCAAAGAUGAUCCCGCGUUGUAUUAGCUAGUUGGUGAGGUAAAGGCUCACCAAGGCGAUGAUACAUAGCCGACCUGAGAGGGUGAUCGGCCACAUUGGGACUGAGACACGGCCCAAACUCCUACGGGAGGCAGCAGUAGGGAAUCUUCGGCAAUGGACGAAAGUCUGACCGAGCAACGCCGCGUGAGUGAAGAAGGUGUUCGGAUCGUAAAACUCUGUUGGUAGAGAAGAACGUUGGUGGGAGUGGAAAGCUCAUCAAGUGACGGUAACUACCCAGAAAGGGACGGCUAACUACGUG